rnacentral:rRNA from 1 species
AGCGAACGUUUGCGGCGGGCUUAACACAUGCAAGUCGAACGAGAAUCCCUUCGGGGAGGAAAGUGGCGCACGGGUGCGUAACACGUGGAUAACCAACCCAUUGGUUUGGGACAACACCGGGAAACUGGUGCUAAUACCAGAUGUGUCGCAGCUGUCUUCAGGCGGUUGCGAGAAAGGCCCGCAAGGGUCGCCAACGGACGGGUCCGCGUCCCAUCAGCUAGUUGGUGAGGUAAUGGCUCACCAAGGCAAAGACGGGUAGCUGGUCUGAGAGGAUGAUCAGCCACACUGGAACUGAGACACGGUCCAGACUCCUACGGG